CCUGAAACCCUAGAAAUUUCAUUUUACUCCACCCCCUCUCCCUGCUCGCGGCCGCCGCCAACAGGCCGCGGAGGCGCGGUCGAGCCGGGAGCGGAAGAGGGUUUCCCCGUCAACCUCCUCGCAGAUCUGCUCAUCUCCUUCCUGGCUCUGCUCAUGGAGGCAUCACGAAGUCAGUUGGUCAGUGGCCGUGUACGCAGCGGGUUGGUCGGCAGCAGCUGCAGCGCCGGCGGUCAAGGCGUCGAACACGUCGGAGUUGGUCACGAUGCGCCGGCAAGAGCUGCGGCACCUCGGCCGGAAGCAGCACGUGAGGGUAACAAAGUCUUCUGUCAAGGUACAGUCCAGUGAUUAUGGAGCCAUUUUUUGUUGUUUGCAUGGUGGUGGUUAGACGCCAUGAAACAUGAACAGUGCCAGUGGCAAUUGACAUAUUCUAACUGACAUAGUUUCUUUUGGGUGAUUGAAUUUUGUUGGUGCAUGUAUGGCUGGCUGGAUUGUAAUUAUUUUGGACUUUGUGGUCUCUGUGGUGGAGUGAAAAACUAUACUCCUGGGGACUUGGAGUGUCUCCUAAAUGCUUGAUGUAAUUAUUUUGAACCUUGGACUAUUUGUGGUGCAAUAGGGAUAUGGACUAUGUACCAUAAAAACUUCUGAUGUUGUUAGGCACUUAGGCUCAAUUGGACUCUAAAAUGUGCUAACUGGACUAUCGUGCGGACUGUGGAGCAUGUAGUAUCAUCUUUCUUAUUCUC